ensembl:processed_transcript
GGUGCAGCACGAAGUCCCACUACGACUAGAACACCCACACCCAGUACUUCAGAAAAAGCAUCCCAUGUUCCAGAAGCGACUCCCACAUACUCAGAAGCAAAUGAAGUUGCUGGUGAAGCAACUAUGUGGGGCAAGGACAAGUACAAAGCUCUCAAUGGCCACAUCUUUUCCUUCGAGUCUGAGUGCACAUUCACUUUCUGCCGCGAUUGUGCUGAGCCUGGAGGAGACUUCAACAUUGAGAUCAAAAAGCAUAAGAAUGGUGAUAUUGAAGAAAUCAAAGCUCUGAUCGAUGACGUUGAGAUCUUGGUUGUGCGUAAUAGUAUUUCUGUCAAUGAAGAAAGGGUAAAGGUACCAUUCAGCAAUAAGAUGAUUCAUAUUAAGAAGCAAGGCAACCACUAUUCUCUCAAAACCCGCAGAAGAAUCUUGUCUCUAAAGUGGAGCAAGGACAAACUCUCACUCAUUCUUUAUAGCCACUAUACAACCUGUGGUCUUUGCGGCAACUUCGACAGCGUCCCAGGUGACGAUGUUAAUGAGCAUAUUGCCAGUAGUAAGAUCUCCAAUGACUGCCCCAGCCCUUUGAGCAGGAGCAAUGAAGUCUGCGAGGAUGGAGUCCAGUACUGUGACAAAAUUAUUGAAACGUACUUUGAGAAAUGUUCGAAAGUUUCCCCCUUAUCCCGUGAGUACAAAAACGUGUGUGCUGAUGAGUACUGUCGAAAAGGAGGAGGCAAGCAGACUACGUGUGAUACCUACUCGGAACUGGCCCGCCUAUGUGCCUAUGAUGGUCCUGGUGACUAUGAACACUGGCGAGAUGACUCUGCUGUGGUUUGUGCAAAGGAACAAUGUCCAGGGAAGCACAUCUACAAAGAAUGUGGACCUUCAAAUCCUCCAACGUGCUCCAAUGUGGCUCCCUUUCAAGACAGUGAAUGUGUGAGUGGCUGCACCUGUCCAGAAGGUUACCUAUUGGAUGACAUUGGAGAGAAAGGAAAGUGUGUAUUAAAGGAAAAAUGUCCCUGUGAAUCUAAUGGAAAAGUGUACAAGCCAGGAAAAGUCCGCGAAGGCCCCUGUGGCUCUCGGUGCACAUGCCAAGAAGCUAAGUGGUCUUGCACUGAAGCUCGAUGUCCUGGGAUAUGUAAAGUAGAAGGGAGCUCCUUUACCACUUUUGAUGACAAUAAAUUUAGCCACCCUGGAGACUGCCACUUCUUGGCUGUCCAUAAUGAUGAAAUUUCUAUUAGCGUGGAGAUCCACCCAUGCGGGAAUGGUCAGACGGGAUCGUGUUUAACUAGUGUUAUGGUUCUCCAGAAUUCUUCUUCUUCAAGUAACAGAUAUGUGUUCAACCGUGAUGGGACAGUCACAAAGGAUGGAGUUAUAAUUAAAGGUUAUUACUAUUCAGAUGAUGUGCAGAUCUUCAAUUCAUCCUCUUCGUACAUGCAAGCAGAGAUUCUCUCACACAUAAAACUGCAAAUACAAUUGGCCCCUAGGAUGCAGUUGUAUGUGUCCUUGGCUCCUAACACAUCCACAGACACUGUAGGUCUUUGUGGUUCCUUCAACAAUAAGGCAGAAGAUGAUUUCAUGUCAAGUCAGAACAUUUUGGAGAGCACAGCUCAGGCAUUUGCUAACUCCUGGGAGAUGAUGCCUUGCUCUGAGGGAAGCCCCUCUUCCUGUGUCAGCAUUGAAACAGNNNNNNNNNNNNNNNNNNGAAUGCAAAAAAUAUACGUGCUCUUGUGAAAACGGUCAGGAUUGCCUGUGUACAGUCUUGGGGAACUAUGUGAAGGCAUGUGCUGAGAAGGAAAUAUACCUCGUGGGCUGGAGAGAUGGACUGUGUGAGGUGUCUUGUCCAAGUGGUCUUGUCUUCAACUACAAAGUAAAAACCUGCAACAGUUCUUGCCGAUCGCUGUCGGCACGAGACCGAAGCUGUGAUAUAGAAGACAUUCCGGUUGACGGAUGUACUUGCCCUGAUGGAAUGUACCAGAAUAAUGAAGGGAACUGUGUUCAGAAAUCUGAGUGUGACUGCUAUGUUAAUGAUGAGAUCGUGCAACCUGGCAAAUCGAUUCUUAUUGAUGACAAUAAGUGUGUCUGUCAGGAUGGAGUGCUUCAUUGCCAAACUCCCCUUGAUUUAACCCUACAAAACUGUUCCAGAGGGGCUGAAUACAUAGACUGCAAAGACCCCAAGGCCCAGAGAAGGACAGAAAGGACAUGUGCUACCCGGAACAUACCUGAUUUUGAGGGUGACUUGCCUUGCAAACGUGGGUGCUACUGUCCUGUAGGAAUGGUCCGUAACUCUAAAGGGAUAUGUAUACAUCCUGAUGACUGUCCCUGCUCUUUUGGUGACAGAGAAUAUGAACAGGGAAGUGUUACUUCUGUUGGCUGCAAUGAGUGUACUUGCAUAAAAGGGUCUUGGAACUGUACCCAGAAUGAGUGUCAAUCAACUUGCCAUGUCUACGGAGAAGGACAUUUCAGAACUUUUGAUGGAGAAAGUUACAGUUUCGACGGGCUCUGCCAGUAUACAUUCCUUGAGGAUUACUGUGGCCAAGAAAAUGGCACAUUCCGUAUUUUAAUCGAGAGUGUCCCCUGCUGUGAAAAUGGGCUUACUUGCUCCAGAAAAGUCAUCGUGACAUUCCAGGAUCAGAACAUCAUCUUACAAGACGGCAAAGUGACAGCAGUUCAAACUGCGGAGAGUACAGAUUGCAGGGAGCGUAGUGCGAACUUGUACUCGAUCCACACGGUUGGCCUGUACCUGAUUGUGAAGCUUCUGAACGGAAUUAUCCUGAUCUGGGACAAAUACACAAAAGUAUCGGUUAUCCUGGACCCAAG